GUUUUUAUAGUUUAAUAAAAACAUUGAUCUUGUAAAUCAAAAUUAAGAAAUAUUCUUUAAAAACU
rnacentral:tRNA from 1 species